CGAACGGGUGAGUAACGCGUGAGUAACCUGCCUUACACAAGGGGAUAGCCUUUGGAAACGAAGAAUAAUACCCUAUAAAACCAUAAAAGCACAUGCUAGAAUGGUCAAAGUGAUAGCGGUGUAAGAUGGACUUGCGUCUGAUUAGCUAGUUGGUGAGAUAAAAGCUCUCCAAGGCAACGAUCAGUAGCCGGCUUGAGAGAGUGUACGGCCACAUUGGGACUGAGACACGGCCCAG
rnacentral:rRNA from 1 species